GUUGGAAGCUGCAUGGUCUUUUAUGACUUAGUCUCAGAUGACAGGCUGUGUCACUUUCUUCUCAGCCAGCUCAAGUCUGCUGAGAUUUCCACGGGUAGGCAACAUAGACCAUUGAUAAAAGGAAAAAAGUUCUAAAAAAUUUGUGGAGGCUAUUUUAUAAAAACCACCAAAACAUGCUGACUGUUGGCAGUACUUGCUGAACUAGGGAGUAUUCUGGAACUAUGUGAGGACAUCUUCAUUGUAAGAAGUUGGAUCAAGACAUCCUAGCUUCUAAAAGCAACAGGACUUCUUGUUUGGAUUAAUUAGAAUGUCAUGUUAAUAUGCUGAAAUGCCCAGCAGCAAAUCACUUUGAUGUUGACCAUUGUUGUUGAAGGUAUUGAUUUUAAUCUUAUUAAAUGAAAUAACCACGUGUCAACCUGGGGGAAAGACUGAGUGAAGACCAUCAUGAUCAUCUCAAAACUCAAAGGAAUUUGCAUCCAGAAUGGCUUAACUUUGAAAAUAGGCCUCUCAUUCCAAGAGAGAUUUUAAUACAAUGCAAAGCAUCAAAAAUAACUUGAAAAUAUGA
rnacentral:lncRNA from 10 species